rnacentral:rRNA from 1 species
GACGAACGCUGGCGGCGUGCUUAACACAUGCAAGUCGAACGGAAAGGCCUGCUUUCCCUUGUGGAUUGCGGGUACUCGAGUGGCGAACGGGUGGGUAACACGUGAGUGAUCUGCCCCCAACUUGGGUAUAAGCCUGGGAAACUGGGUCUAAUUCCCGAUAGGACUGCAGGGUGGUGCCUGUGGUGGGAAACGAUUUUCUAGUGGUUGGGGAUGAGCUCGCGGCCUAUCAGCUUGUUGGUGGGGUAAUGGCCUACCAAGGCGGCGACGGGUAGCCGGCCUGAGAGGGUGGACGGCGACAUUGGGACUGGGAUACGGCCCAGACGCCUACGAGAGGCAGCAGAGGGGAAUAUUGGACAAUGGGCGGAAGCCUGAUGCAGCGACGCCGCGUGGGGGAUGACGGCCUUCGGGUUGUAAACUCCUUUCGACCGCGAGGAAGCCACCUGGUUGGAAGGGUAGUGACGGUAGUGGUAGAAGAAGCACCGGCUAACUACGUG